rnacentral:snRNA from 1 species
GGAUGUAAGCAUGAUUUAUCUGUGACAUUUAUCACCUCAUUGAUAAUCAACGUUGACUUGGCUAAUCUUGCUGGCUAAGUGGUGUGCCUUUCCUCCCCAUCACUCCAUGUGUAUCCUUUCCAAAACUUUUUGCUUAAAGAGUAAAACCUCCAACAGAAAAAGACUGUUGUUUAAUCAAGGAUGCUCAAGUGAAUGCACACCUUUGCUAGGAGACCAAGAAGCAAGCACAAAAGAUGAAGUGAUUUGCUGAGCUUCCAGGAAGGUGAUGCCAGGGUCACCAUUCAGAAUGUGUAUAAGCACUCAAGAAAUGGCAAGAAUAAGAACAUGUAUAUAUUU